GAAACUCUUUAUCUUAUAAAUUUUAGUAUUAAUCCAAAACAUUAUCUAAAUUAAAUGUCGGUCCAAAACUACCAUUCUUAAAAAUAAUUAAUUAAUUAAUUAAAUUCAUUCAUUAUCCUUUCCAAUUUUAAUAUUAAAUAACAGUUGGGUCCCAUUUUAGACCAACUAACAUAACCAUAAAUUAGAAACUGACACCUUUCACAUCCAUGUGCCCAUGCAUAGCGACGCGCAUUUGAUACUUAUGGACCCCAUCCCCUCGAGAACGAGAC
rnacentral:misc_RNA from 1 species